GGGCCCGCACAAGCAGUGGAGCAUGUGGUUUAAUUCGACGAUACGCGAAGAACCUUACCAGGGUUUGACAUAGAUAUGGCGUAUACAGAGAUGUAUAUUCUCUUCGGAGCAUAUUUACAGGUGCUGCAUGGCUGUCGUCAGCUCGUGCCGUGAGGUGUUGGGUUAAGUCCCGCAACGAGCGCAACCCUUAUCAUCAGUUGCCAUCGGGUAAAGCCGGGGACUCUGUUGAGACUGCCGUCAUAAGGCGGAGGAAGGUGGGGAUGACGUCAAGUCAGCAUGGCCCUUACGUCCUGGGCUACACACGUGCUACAAUGGUCGGUACAGAGGGCAGCGAAGCCGCGAGGUGCAGCGAAUCCCAGAAAUCCGGCCUCAGUUCGGAUUGGAGGCUGCAACCCGCUCCAUGAAUCGGAAUUGCUAGUAACCGCAGAUCAGCUACGCUG
rnacentral:rRNA from 1 species